rnacentral:lncRNA from 1 species
GAUAAGGCGAAUACGGCCAGAUACAGAAAAAGGAUAAUGCCAAGUUCAGCUUGGUACAGAAUGUGAAGUUAAGUUGUAAAGUAUGUUGGAGAAUAGUACUGUCAUGUGCUAGAUAGUUCAUGAUUGUGUAUAAGUGAAGGUUACUCGAUUCUGGGGAAAUGUGUGUAAAGUUUAAUGUAUAAACAAUCUAUGUUUAUAUCUUCCGCAAAUAGUUGUAGAAAUAGCGAACCGAAUCCGCGGCGAUUCGGGACCCGGAUCUGGGGCUGCUACAAUGCCAAUUUAAAUAAUCGAUAGAAAAGAGAAAGUUCUGUGGAAAAAAGUUAUACCUUCAGUAAAGGUGUUAUGGAAGAACUACAAUGCUGAAGAAGCAACGUGGGAACUUAAAGAAAAGAUGAGGAAGGAUUAUCCUCAGUUGUUUAUUUAAUAUUUUAAGCGAGAUUCUGGGGACAGAAUCCUUAUAAGGAAAGGUGAAUGUAACAACCGAUAAAAU